GGACCGGUAGCUUAGCCUGGUUAGAGCGCUACGCUGAUAACGUAGAGGUCAGGAGUUCAAAAACAAGCCCCCUCGCCU
rnacentral:tRNA from 1 species